rnacentral:rRNA from 1 species
AUACGGAAGGUCCGGGCGUUAUCCGGAUUUAUUGGGUUUAAAGGGAGCGCAGGCGGAGAUGCAAGCGUGACGUCAAAUUUCGGGGCUCAACCCCGUCUCGCGUCGCGAACUGCGUCCCUUGGUUGCGGGAAGGGGAGGCGGAACUCGUGGUGUAGCGCUGAAAUGCAUAGAUAUCACGAAGAACUCCGAUCGCGAAGGCAGCCUUCCGGCCCGUCAACGACGCUCAUGCUCGAAGGUGCGGGUAUCAAACAGGAUUAGAUACCCUGGUAGUCCGCACAGUAAACGAUGGACACCCGCGGUUUGGCCUGUAUGGCUGAGCCGCCAAGCGAAAGCGUUAAGUGUCCCACCUGGGGAGUACGCCGGCAACGGUGAAACUCAAAGGAAUUGGCGGGG